GACUCACCCUCAAUCUGGGUGGGCACAAUUUAAUCAGCUGCCAGCGUAACCACAAUAAAAGCAGGCAAAGAACGUGAAAAGACUAGACUCGUUUAGUCUUCUGGCCUACAUCUUUCUCCUGUGCUGGAUGCUUCCUGCCCUCAAACAUCAGACUCCAAGUUCUUCAAUUCUGGCUUCCCUGAUCCUCAGCUUGCAGACGGCCUAUUGUGGGACCUCAUCCUGUGACCAUUCUCCCAUUGAGAACAUUAAGAGAUGGAAACUACUUCCUACUCCUUGAAUAUGGACUGCUCUUGUAGCUUGCUUUGACCCAUGCAUUCCAGUGGAAGUGAUGGUGUGCACUUUUGCUGUCAGAAUCCUGCACCAUGCAGAAAAGCCUAGGUGAACCUGCUGGAGGAUGAGAGACAAUGUGGAUGAGAGCCAAGGCAUCCCAGCCAACAGCCAGAAGUAGUGUUGCCUAGCUGACCCACAGCUAACUGCAGAUCAAUAAGGGAGCCCAGUUCAGACCAGAAGAAACAUCCAACUGAGCCCAGCUUAAAUUGCUGACUUGCAGAUUUUCUGCGAAAUAAACAGUUGUUUUAAGCUACUGUAUGUUGAGAUCUGCAGACGAAGGUCCAAAGGAAGAAGAUUUUGUUGAAGACUGAAAAGAGAAAUAUACUUGGUGGACAGAGAUAACUCCUUUCAGCACAGAGGUCAGAAGACUCAAGAAAAAGUCCAAGAUAAGAAAUUCCAUUUAUAAGAAAAGGAAGGCACAGGUUAAUUUGGUUUAUCUCCUCCAACCUCAACAAUGGAUGUGAGUUCUGACAAUUGCUUGUGGCCAGAACCAAUCAAACUUUCCUUCCUCAUUAGAUGACAAGGCUGCAGCAUGAAGAAGAUGCCAUAUUGUGGAAUUGGGUGUCAAGGAGAAGACAUUCGAAGGUGCAUGAACAGAGUGAAGGUGGUGCAAGCAAGUGCAGAGGAGGUGGGGAGACUGGAGUGCUGGGAAAAGGGUCAGCAGAAGCUAGCAAACAUGAAAGACACAACACAAAACAAGCAGUUGUGCAAAUUAGGAUGAUAAGGGGGGAGUGGUCAAAGGUGUGUUUCUCAUGGCUCAACCAGUGCAAACUCAGUCUUAUGACCCUACAUGACUGACUGCACCUGGCCUCUGCAUCCCUUCAGCCUCUUCCCCAAAAGGACUCCUCCUUAUUGCCAGCCACACAAGCCUUCCUUCAUUUCCUCUAACAGGCCAGACUUGUUCCUGGCUCCCGGUCUUGGCAUUCACUGUUUUUUCUGCCAUAGCUGGCUCCUUCCCAAACAUGGAAUCUCAGCCCAAACAAUAUCUCCUCUGAGACACCAGCCUUGAUCACCUUUAUACAAUACAGAUCUGCUCCUGCCCAUCACUUUCUAUCUCAUGACCCUACAAUGUGCCCCUUCGUGAUAGCUCACACCAGCUAAAACCAUCUUGUUUGUGGAUUGCUCACUUGCCCCCUGCCUGUCUCUAGCUCUAGGAGGUCGGCUCCCUGUCACUGUCUGGUCUACUGUGUCGUACCACCCAUGCCCAGCACCUAGCCUUGCACAUUAUAGGACUUAAUGCAAACUUCUUGACUGAAAGAAAAAUGAAGAAACUCAGCCUUGGGAGAGAAAACAACCAUUAAAUGAUUAUUUAAUAAAAUAGAGUAUUAAUCUAUUUUAUAUUAAUUAUUAAUUUAGUUCAUAAAAUAUUAAUUGUCUUUACAACGAAUGUGUCCUUAGUCAUUGGUGUUUGUGCUUUGUGAAUCUUCACAUCCCAUGGGGCCAGUAAUGGGGGUGGGGGUGUAGUGUGGGAAGUGGGGCAGGGAACCAAUCUGGCCUGCAGGGGUUACCUGCCCCAUGGGUGCCUGCAGGCUUCAUGUGGUUUCAGUGGCAUGGCACCCUGAUGGGAAGAGUGGCUCAGAAUUGGU
ensembl:lncRNA novel transcript